GCCAGAGUUGUGUAGAGGUUUGAGCAUUGGACUCUGGAGAUUCUGGAGACCAGGGUUCGAAUCCCUGCUCAGCCA